UGCAAGCCGCAUAUUUACACCUAUGAAUAAUGUCCAAAAGGACACGCUGAUGACGGACUCUUCUCCGUUUCAAGCAAUUUUUGCCUCUCUUCUUCCCGAGCUUGAACUAUACGUUUGUCUGCAUCUUUGCUCUAAAUGUUAUGUGGCUGUUGUUGAAAGUAAUGUCUUGUAGAAGAGCCCACCACACCCCCUGUCACGACCACGACCACCCAUCAAUACGCACCAACACAACCCUGUUUAGAACAACUAACACUCGCAUUUCAGCAUUGUUAGGGGAAGUUUAAGUCUUGGAGACCAGUAAUUCCCUUAAAACAGCUUUGGCAAGGUGGAUUUUAGGCGAGACAGCCAACUUUCCCAAAGCGCGAACGCAUCGGGAUUGAGCUUGUGUGACUGAAGCGAGCGAGAUCUGAGAUCAUUGAGUAUGCAGUAACAGGAUACUGGAAUUAGACAGAAGGAGAGAAUUAAUCUGUUUUCUGGCUCGCAUGGAGGGUGAGAACCAUCUACAGCACUGGAACACAUUAAGGUGUUUUCUGUUGUGCCUUGUUGUCCUUAUCCUUACGACAGAGGUCAACGCAGGAGUGAAGAAGAGCGGUGGAUCAUGUGGGGGGAGAGACUGCAGCGGAGGGUGUCAGUGUUUUCCUGAAAAGGGUG